AUUGAACGCUGGCGGCAGGCUUAACACAGGCAAGUCGAACGAGUGGCGGACGGGUGAGUAAGGUUUGGGAAACUGCCUGAUGGUGGGGGAUAACUUCUGGAAACGGUAGCUAAUACCGCAUACCAUCGGAUGUGCCCAGAUGGGAUUAGCUAGUAGGUGGGGUAAUGGCGCACCUAGGCGACGAUCCCUAGCAGGUCUGAGAGGAUGACCGGCCAAGCUGGAACUGAGCCACGGUCCAGACUCCUACGGAAGGCAGCAGUGGGGAAUGUUGCACAAUGGGGGCAAGCCUGAUGCAGCCAUGCCGCGUGUAUGAAGAAGGCCUUCGGGUUGUAAAGUACUUUCAGCGGGGAGGCGUUACCCGCAGAGGAAGCACCGGCUAACUCCGUGCCAGCAGCCGCGGUAAUAC
rnacentral:rRNA from 1 species